rnacentral:misc_RNA from 1 species
AACGCACAUUGCGCCCGUUAGCAUUCUAGCGGGCAUGCCUGUCCGAGCGUCAUUUCAACCCUCAGGGCUCCCUUUAGGGGGAGACCUGGUGUUGGGGAUCGGCCCGCCCAGCGCGGCGCCGUCCCCCAAAUUCAGUGGCGGUCUCGCUGCAGCCUCCCCUGCGUAGUAGUUUACACCUCGCACCGGAGCGCGGCUAGGCCACGCCGUAAAACCCCCGACUUUCUGAACGUUGACCUCGGAUCAGGUAGGAAUACCCGCUGAACUUAA